rnacentral:rRNA from 1 species
UACGGAGGAUCCAAGCGUUAUCCGGAUUUAUUGGGUUUAAAGGGUGCGUAGGCGGCCUGUUAAGUCAGGGGUGAAAGACGGUAGCUCAACUAUCGCAGUGCCCUUGAUACUGAUGGGCUUGAAUGGACUAGAGGUAGGCGGAAUGAGACAAGUAGCGGUGAAAUGCAUAGAUAUGUCUCAGAACACCGAUUGCGAAGGCAGCUUACUAAGCUAUGAUUGACGCUGAGGCACGAAAGCGUGGGGAUCAAACAGG